AUUGAACGCUGGCGGCAUGCCUUACACAUGCAAGUCGAACGGUAACAGGUCUUCGGAUGCUGACGAGUGGCGAACGGGUGAGUAAUACAUCGGAGCGUGCCCGAUCGUGGGGGAUAACGAAGCGAAAGCUUUGCUAAUACCGCAUACGAUCUACGGAUGAAAGCAGGGGACCGCAAGGCCUUGCGCGAACGGAGCGGCCGAUGGCAGAUUAGGUAGUUGGUGGGGUAAAGGCUUACCAAGCCUACGAUCUGUAGCUGGUCUGAGAGGACGACCAGCCACACUGGGACUGGGACACGGCCAGACUCCUACGGGAGGCAGCAGUGGGGAAUUUUGGACAAUGGGCGCAAGCCUGAUCCAGCAAUGCCGCGUGCAGGAUGAAGGCCUUCGGGUUGUAAACUGCUUUUGUACGGAACGAAAAGGCUCUGGUUAAUACCUGGGGCUCAUGACGGUACCGUAAGAAUAAGCACCGGCUAACUACGUGCCAGCCGCCGCUGUAAGAC
rnacentral:rRNA from 1 species